rnacentral:rRNA from 1 species
GACGAACGCUGGCGGCGUGCUUAACACAUGCAAGUCGAACGGAAAGGCCCUGCUUUUGUGGGGUGCUCGAGUGGCGAACGGGUGAGUAACACGUGAGUAACCUGCCCUUGACUUUGGGAUAACUUCAGGAAACUGGGGCUAAUACCGGAUAGGAGCUCCUGCUGCAUGGUGGGGGUUGGAAAGUUUCGGCGGUUGGGGAUGGACUCGCGGCUUAUCAGCUGGUUGGUGGGGUAGUGGCUUACCAAGGCUUUGACGGGUAGCCGGCCUGAGAGGGUGACCGGCGACAUUGGGACUGAGAUACGGCCCAGACUCCUACGGGAGGCAGCAGUGGGGAAUAUUGCACAAUGGGCGGAAGCCUGAUGCAGCAACGCCGCGUGCGGGAUGACGGCCUUCGGGUUGUAAACCGCUUUCGCCUGUGACGAAGCGUGAGUGACGGUAAUGGGUAAAGAAGCACCGGCUAACUACGUG